rnacentral:rRNA from 1 species
AUUGAACGCUGGCGGCAGGCCUAACACAUGCAAGUCGAACGAGUGGCGGACGGGUGAGUAAUGUCUGGGAAACUGCCUGAUGGAGGGGGAUAACUACUGGAAACGGUAGCUAAUACCGCAUACCAUCAGAUGUGCCCAGAUGGGAUUAGCUAGUUGGUGGGGUAAAGGCUCACCAAGGCGACGAUCCCUAGCUGGUCUGAGAGGAUGACCGGCCACACUGGAACUGAGACACGGUACAGACUCCGACGGGAGGAAGCAGGGGGGAAUAUUGGACAAGGGGCGAAAGCCUGAUGCAGCCAUGCCGCGUGUAUGAAGAAGGCUUUCGGGUUGUAAAGUACUUUCAGCGGGGAGGCGUUACCAGCAGAAGAAGCACCGGCUAACUCCGUGCCAGCAGCCGCGGUAAUUC